UGGGGAAUAUUGCACAAUGGGCGAAAGCCUGAUGCAGCCAUGCCGCGUGUGUGAAGAAGGCUCUAGGGUUGUAAAGCACUUUCAGUAGGGAGGAAACGUUAUCGGUUAAUAGCUGAUAGCUUUGACGUUACCUACAGAAGAAGCACCGGCAAACUCCGUGCCAGCAGCCGCGGUAAUACGGAGGGUGCGAGCGUUAAUCGGAAUUACUGGGCGUAAAGCGCGCGUAGGUGGUUUGAUAAGCUAGCUGUGAAAGCCCCGGGCUCAACCUGGGAACUGCAGUUAGAACUGUCUGGCUAGAGUACAGUAGAGGGUGGCGGAAUUUCCUGUGUAGCGGUGAAAUGCGUAGAUAUAGGAAGGAACAUCAGUGGCGAAGGCGGCCACCUGGACUGAUACUGACACUGAGGUGCGAAAGCGUGGGGAGCAAACAGG
rnacentral:rRNA from 1 species